rnacentral:rRNA from 1 species
UACGAAGGGGGCUAGCGUUGCUCGGAAUCACUGGGCGUAAAGGGCGCGUAGGCGGCCAUUCAAGUCAGAGGUGAAAGCCCAAGGCUCAACCUUGGAACUGCCUUUGAUACUGUUUGGCUUGAGACCGGUAGAGGUAAGUGGAACUGCGAGUGUAGAGGUGAAAUUCGUAGAUAUUCGCAAGAACACCAGUGGCGAAGGCGACACACUGGCCCGUUACUGACGCUGAGGCUCGAAAGCGUGGGGAGCAAACAGG